UAGUCCUACGGGACGCAGCAGUAGGGAAUUUUCGUCAAUGGGCGCAAGCCUGAACGAGCAAUGCCGCGUGAACGAGGAAGGUCUUCGGAUCGUAAAGUUCUGUUGAAGGGGAAAAAGAGCGGAGAGAGGAAAUGGUCUCCGAUUGAUAUUACCCUUCGAGGAAGUCACGGCUAACUACGUGCCAGCAGCCGCGGUAAUACGUAGAUGGCGAGCGUUAUCCGGAAUGAUUGGGCGUAAAGGGUUCGUAUGCGGCCUG
rnacentral:rRNA from 1 species